rfam:Gorilla gorilla gorilla genomic chromosome, chr5, whole genome shotgun sequence
GCCAGGCAUGGUGGCACAUGCCUGUAGUCCCAGCUACUCGGGAGGCUGAGACAGAGGGAUCACUUGAGCCCAGAAGGUCGAGGCUGCAGUGAGCCCAUGACUGCGCCACUGCACUCCAGCCUGGGCAACAGAGUGACACCCUGUCUCAA